UGGGUGGCUGAGCCGGGUGAUCCCUGUGAGUGCUGCGUACCCAUCGAGGGCCAUUCUUCCCCUUGUUUACUCCUGGUCAGUCAAUGAAGUAGUCAUUGAACACCUAUUAUGAUCGUCCAGGCGCUGUCGUUUCAGCAGCGUGAACAAAGUGAAACCUGGAGCUUAAAUUCUUGUAACGGUGACAUGCGGCCAGAGAAGGAUGUGUGGAGCCUGUUUUAAAACAGGCCCCGAAUGGCGGGCAGUGCUAUUCUUACAGACAGGCCCGGAAUACCCCUCUGAAGGGGCGUUGUUUGAGCAAAAUAUCAAGAAAGUGAGACGACGUCCUAUGUAAAUUCCAGGAAGGAGCAGUGUGGGCCUCGAGGGAGCUGAGACGGGGAGCAUUGUGGCCAGGAGGGCGCAGAACAGGAGGCGGUCCAGUACGUAUAGUGAUUCUCAAAAUGGGGUCCCCUGGCUGCCUCAACACACGGAAACCAGUUGAAACUGACUAGAAAGGCACAAAUGCAAAAUACCGAAUCAUGAAAUUCUGCAGGUGGGCGCAACAACUUUGCCCUCCAGGAGAUUCGGAUGCUCAAGUUUGAGAACCGCCGUUGUGGAGCCUUGUAGGACGUGGCAAGAACUUUGGGUUUUGCGAUGAAAUGGGAAGCUAUGAGUUUUGAGCAGAGAAAUGAUGAUGCAAUUUAAUAUUAGAGGAUCACUCUGCGUUAGCAGCUGGGUGGAAGAUGGACUUUACAAGGUCAAGGGCAGCUGCUGCAGCACUCCAGCUGAGAAAUCGCAGGCUUUACUAGGGUGGUGGGGGUCAAGGUGAUGAAUAGUGGUUCUGUUGUGAAUAUAUUUGAAAGAUAGUGCAAAAUUUGCUGACUGGCUAGACGACGUGCAGGGUGAGAGAGGAGUGAAGGAUAACUCCAAGAUUUUUGACUGGAGCAACUGCAGAAGGGAUGUACAGCUGUGCAGGUCGAGGAGGUGACGGGCUGUGUUGGAUGCUGCGGAUCAGCGGAGCAAGUUGAAGCUAAGGCUCAGCCACAGGAUAUGCAGUGUAGAGAUCGCGUCUCAGCUAAAUGCCCUUCAGAAAGUUGAGGCUUUGCUGUUCCCUACUCUGAGUGAAUUUCACUUCCUCAAGGAGAAGAGGAAGGUGGGGGAGGUCAGUACCUCCAUUAGAAAAAAAGAAGUGGAGGAACCACACCUUUAAAACUGACUUCUGCAUUUUUAUAUUUUCCCUCUGAUUAAAGCAACACAUGCCAUCUGAGAAUCUUGGAAAACAAGAGAAAAUCAUAGCAAAGGCUAUUAUGUACAUCACACGUAACACCACCCCUAGUUAUCUACUUUUUGGUUUCUUUUCUUCCAGGCUUUUUUUUUUCUAUGAGUAGGUAUUUUUACACCAAGAGAUUUUCCUUGGACAUAUAAUUUUAUAUCCUCCUAACAAGCUUUGUUCACCUGUCACUAAAAUGAAUGUUCAGUGACUACUGAAUUUUUCUAUUUUAUGGUAAUAUAAUUUAUUUAGCCAAGCCCUAAUUUGGGGGCAUUGAACUAGUUCCAGGUUAUCCUGUUAUAAAUAGCUCUGUAAUGAGUAUCGUUGGAUAUAAAUCUUUUAUUUGGGGGGAGGGGGUAAUUAGGUUUGUUUGUGUUUUUAGAAGAGGGACUGGAGAUUGAACCUAGGACCUUGUACAUACUAGGCAUGCACGCCAGCACUUGAUCUAUACCCUCCCCUGGAUAUAAAUCUUUAACAGCAUCUUUAAUUGUUUUUUUAAGGCAAAUUCUGAGAAAUAGAAAUUACGGCUUUAAACAUACAGCCUUUGUUUAAGCUCUAACUGCCAAAACUGGUUAAUUUUACUGAAGGAGUUGAUGAGGAAGAACGGCUAAUCUGACGUUUUCAUAAUUAGGAUAUUUUUAUGAACUGAUAUUUGACAAGAAUACCACUGAAUAUUCUUGGGAAAGGAUAAUCUUUAAUAAACUUUGUUGGGCAAACUGGGUAACCACAUGCAGAAGAAUGAAAUUGGACCCCUAUCCUAUACCACUCCAAAAAAUUAACUCAAAGUGGAUUAAAGACUUAACUGUAAGAUCUGAAACUAUAAAACUCUUAGGAGAAAAAAAAAAAGGAAAAGCCUCCUUGACAUUGGUCUCGGCAACAAUGUUUUGGACAUGACACCAAAAGCACAAACAACAAAGGCAGAAAUAACUAAAUGGGACUACAACAAACUAAAUCGCUUCUGUGCAGUGGGGAGGGUAUAGCUCAGUAGUAGAGUGUGUGCUUAGCAUGCAUGAGGUCCUGGGUUCAAUCCCCAGUACCUCCAUUUAAAUAAACCUAAUAUCCUCCCACCAAGAAAAAAGCAGGAAAAAAAUUUUAAAAGCUUCUGUGCAGCAAAGGAAACAACAGCAAAAUAAAAAGGCAACCUACAGAACUGGAAAAAUAUUUGUAAACCUGAUAAGGGGUUAAUAUCCAAAAUAUAUAGAGAACUCAUCUCACUCAAUACAAAACAAAUUUUAAAGUGGGCAGAGGAUUUGAAAAGACAUUCUUCCAAAGAAGACAUACAAAUGGCCAACAGAUAUGUGAAAAGAUGCUUAACAUGAUUCAUCAAGGAAAUGCAAAUCCAAACCUCAGUGAGAUGUCAGCUCACACUUGUCAGGACAGCUGUCAUCAAAAAGACAAGAUAACAAAUGCUGGUGAAGAUGGGGAGGGAAGGGAUCCUUUGUGCACUGUCGUUGGGAAUGUAAAAUGAUGCAGCCACUGUGGAACACAGUAUAGGUUCCUUAAAAAAUUAAAACCAGAACUACUGUAUCAUCUAGCAGUCCUACUUCUGGGUAUAUUUCCAAAGGAAAUGAAAGUAGGGUCUACAUCUGCACUCCAUAUUCAUUGUAGCAUUUUUCACUGUAGCCAAGAUAUGGACCUAAGUGUCUGUUAAUGGAUGGAUGGAUAAAGAAUGAAUAUGUGGUUUAUGUAUACAAUGGAGUAUUAUUCAGCCAUGAGAAAGGAGAUCCUGCCAUUUGUGACAACAUGAAUGACUUUGAGGGCAGUGUGCCAAGUGAAGUCAGUCUGGCAGAGAAUGACAAAUACUGUAUGAUGUUACUCAUAUGUAGAAUCUAAAAAACCUGGUUUCACAGGUUCACAGUUGGAAAAGAAUUUUGCUCCAGCAUGAAGCAUACCUCUUACCCGUAACUGAUUUGUAUAAUUUAGAAGAUGAGAUUUGAGUUGAUAAAGUUUAGAUGAGAUGUUGGGCCUAGUCUUAUGCUAGAACAAUUAAGACUUUGAGGGAAAUUGGGAUGGGGUGAAAGUACUUUGCACAUGGGAAAAAUUACGAAUUUUUAGAGGCCAUAGGGCAGACUGUAAUGGGUUUAUGUUCCCCACCACACAAAGACAUUUUGAAGUCCUAACCUCCAGUACUUCAGAAUGUGAGCUUGUUUGUAAAUACAGACUUUACAGAGGUCAUCAAGUUAAAAUGAGGUCAUUAGGGUGGGCCCUAAUCCAGUAUGUCUGGGAAACAUAGAGGGAGACCACAUGAAGACAGGAGGCAGAAACUGGAGGUAAAGCUGCAUGCCAAGGAGUGCCUGGGGCUACCAGGAGCCAGGAAGAGGCAAGGACGGAUUAACCUGCAGGUUUCAGAGGGCACCUGGCCCCGCUGACACCAUCAUUUUGGACUUACAGCCUUCAGAGCUGAGACAAUAAAUCUGUGUUAUAAGCUACCCAGUUUGUGGUACUUUGUUGUAAUAGCCCCCAUUGUUGGACAUGUAGACUGUUAAUUUGGAGCCUUUACGGGUACAUUUUAGCACAUCUGCAAUCACAUUCCUACACACAAAAUUGGUGGGUCAUAGGAUAUACAAGAUUCUGGGUUGUUUUUGGUUUUUUUUUGACAUGGUUUGUGUUAAAGAAGGUUUAUUGUUAGCUUUAUUGCCUAUAGUCUAUAAGAUGCAACUUUAUUGUGCCUUUGAAGGCCCUGAGGGUUUUGACUUGCGACUAAGUUGCCCUCUACACGAAGGUAUUAACUACAUGAUCUCCAUUCUGUGGGAACACCCACUCCGGUACCCUCUGACAGUAGGCUUUGUUUUAAUCACUGUUAAUUUCUGAUUCGGGUCAUCAGAGUGUCCAGAGAAAUAUGCCAGAGCAUGUUGGGUAGAACACUGCAGACUUGCAUCCUGGGAAGACGUAGCUGUAAUGUUUCUAGGUUGCUGUUACUCGUCUAGAAAGCGAUCAACUCGGGCAAAGGAGGGACAACUGGGAAGGCACUGUGUCUAAGAACAGAUCUGGACAAAGUGAUCACAGUGGAAAUAAAUAUCAGCUUUAUUAACA